rnacentral:rRNA from 1 species
AACGAACGCUGGCGGCAUGCCUAACACAUGCAAGUCGAACGAGACCUUCGGGUCUAGUGGCGCACGGGUGCGUAACGCGUGGGAACCUGCCCUUAGGUUCGGAAUAACUCCCCGAAAGGGGUGCUAAUACCGGAUAAUGUCUUCGGACCAAAGAUUUAUCGCCUUUGGAUGGGCCCGCGUUGGAUUAGCUAGUUGGUAGGGUAAAAGCCUACCAAGGCGACGAUCCAUAGCUGGUCUGAGAGGAUGAUCAGCCACACUGGGACUGAGACACGGCCCAGACUCCUACGGGAGGCAGCAGUGGGGAAUAUUGGACAAGGGGCGAAAGCCUGAUCCAGCAAUGCCGCGUGAGUGAUGAAGGCCUUAGUGUUGUAAAGCUCUUUUACCCGGGAUGAUAAUGACAGUACCGGGAGAAUAAGCUCCGGCUAACUCCGUG